rnacentral:rRNA from 1 species
AGUGAACGCUGGCGGUAGGCCUAACACAUGCAAGUCGAACGGCAGCACAGGAGAGCUUGCUCUCUGGGUGGCGAGUGGCGGACGGGUGAGGAAUACAUCGGAAUCUACCUUUUCGUGGGGGAUAACGUAGGGAAACUUACGCUAAUACCGCAUACGACCUACGGGUGAAAGUGGGGGACCGCAAGGCCUCACGCGACUAGAUGAGCCGAUGUCCGAUUAGCUAGUUGGCGGGGUAAUGGCCCACCAAGGCGACGAUCGGUAGCUGGCCUGAGAGGAUGAUCAGCCACACUGGAACUGAGACACGGUCCAGACUCCUACGGGAGGCAGCAGUGGGGAAUAUUGGACAAUGGGCGCAAGCCUGAUCCAGCCAUACCGCGUGGGUGAAGAAGGCCUUCGGGUUGUAAAGCCCUUUUGUUGGGAAAGAAAUCCUGUCGAUUAAUACUCGGUGGGGAUGACGGUACCCAAAGAAUAAGCACCGGCUAACUUCGUGCCAGCAGCCGCAGUAAAAC